GGCUCAAGCGAUCCAUCUCCCUUGACUUCUCAAAGUGCUGGGAUUACAGGCUUGAGCCACCAUGCCCGGCCUGACAGUCUUCAGUUUCUAAUGAAACAUGUUUUUGGAUCCUCUGAAGAAAUGCGUUGAUCUGUACCAAAAAAUGAAAUUUUGUUUUCCAAUGAAAACAAAAUAACAGUUGUAUUGCAUGCUUUGCAAGGUGCAAAAUAUAGGCACGGUGGCUGCUGGCAUCGCAGAAGAGCGCCUUCUACAUCAGCUGGACCCUUUCAGAUCUCAACAGGGCAUUGCUGUGCGCGAGUUCACUGAGCAGCAAAUAAGCCUCACUGAAGGGCUGUUAGUGCCUCCACAGAAGCCUGUGUGCAGCGCAACUCAGCCUUUGAUUUCCUGCUUAGCGAUGGUGUACUUAGGUACCUGUUCCUUCCGGACAAAGUCCAGGAAGGCAAAGACUGUUGGUUUGUCACCCUCCCUAGUGGCCAGCACAGGGCCUGGCAUAUGAACGGUACUCUGUAAAUGUGUUGGAUUAA